rnacentral:pre_miRNA from 1 species
GAAGCACGUGGAUAGAGGAAGCACUACAUUAUGGAAUGGAGGGAGUAUGUUGUAGGCAAUGAUUGUUUGCCUUGAAGAUUUUAUAGAUCCUGCUCUGGUCUUUCUGAUUUUGUCUGUUCCUUUUUUUUAUGUUUGGUUCG